UCAUAGGCAUGCUCGCCGACAUUGCAGCUUGGUUUCUUCAUCCACGUCCACUAUAAUUUGAGCUUGAACUUGACCAGACUCCCUUCCGUGAGUCUGAUGCGCGGUUGAAGCCAUAAGCACGUACCUGGCAGCCGAGGCUGGUUUGCUCCAUGAUCCAAAGUUACAGCCGCCGUUAAAACUUCUCUUCAGACAGGAAAUUAAUAGUGCCCAGCGUCCAUGUUUGGCAUCAAAUGAUCUAACUGUAAUCUGCAGCAGCUGAGGACGGUGGCCAUGGAGUGACUCCUCCCUCCUCUCAGCCAUGCUCUCAGCUCAUUUGAUUUUAGGGUCCUCGUGCAGUAGA